UCUCCGUUGGUGAACCAGCGGAGGGAUCAUUACCGAGUUAUUCAACUCAUCAACCCUGUGAACAUACCUAAACGUUGCUUCGGCGGGAAUAGACGGCCCCGUGAAACGGGCCGCCCCCGCCAGAGGACCCUUAACUCUGUUUCUAUAAUGUUUCUUCUGAGUAAAACAAGCAAAUAAAUUAAAACUUUCAACAACGGAUCUCUUGGCUCUGGCAUCGAUGAAGAACGCAGCGAAAUGCGAUAAGUAAUGUGAAUUGCAGAAUUCAGUGAAUCAUCGAAUCUUUGAACGCACAUUGCGCCCGCCAGUAUUCUGGCGGGCAUGCCUGUUCGAGCGUCAUUACAACCCUCAGGCCCCCGGGCCUGGCGUUGGGGAUCGGCGGAGCCCUUUGUGGGCACACGCCGUCCCCCAAAUACAGUGGCGGUCCCGCCGCAGCUUCCAUCGCGUAGUAGCUAACACCUCGCGACUGGAGAGCGGCGCGGCCACGCCGUAAAACACCCAACUCUUCUGAAGUUGACCUCGAAUCAGGUAGGAAUACCCGCUGAACUUAA
rnacentral:rRNA from 1 species